rnacentral:rRNA from 1 species
AAUGGGUCAGCGACUUAUAUUCUGUAGCAAGGUUAACCGAAUAGGGGAGCCGAAGGGAAACCGAGUCUUAACUGGGCGUUAAGUUGCAGGGUAUAGACCCGAAACCCGGUGAUCUAGCCAUGGGCAGGUUGAAGGUUGGGUAACACUAACUGGAGGACCGAACCGACUAAUGUUGAAAAAUUAGCGGAUGACUUGUGGCUGGGGGUGAAAGGCCAAUCAAACCGGGAGAUAGCUGGUUCUCCCCGAAAGCUAUUUAGGUAGCGCCUCGUGAAUUCAUCUCCGGGGGUAGAGCACUGUUUCGGCAAGGGGGUCAUCCCGACUUACCAACCCGAUGCAAACUGCGAAUACCGGAGAAUGUUAUCACGGGAGACACACGGCGGGUGCUAACGUCCGUCGUGAAGAGGGAAACAACCCAGACCGCCAGCUAAGGUCCCAAAGUCAUGGUUAAGUGGGAAACGAUGUGGGAAGGCCCAGACAGCCAGGAUGUUGGCUUAGAAGCAGCCAUCAUUUAAAGAAAGCGUAAUAGCUCACUGGUCGAGUCGGCCUGCGCGGAAGAUGUAACGGGGCUAAACCAUGCACCGAAGCUGCGGCAGCGACACUAUGUGUUGUUGGGUAGGGGAGCGUUCUGUAAGCCUGUGAAGGUGUACUGUGAGGUAUGCUGGAGGUAUCAGAAGUGCGAAUGCUGACAUAAGUAACGAUAAAGCGGGUGAAAAGCCCGCUCGCCGGAAGACCAAGGGUUCCUGUCCAACGUUAAUCGGGGCAGGGUGAGUCGACCCCUAAGGCGAGGCCGAAAGGCGUAGUCGAUGGGAAACAGGUUAAUAUUCCUGUACUUGGUGUUACUGCGAAGGGGGGACGGAGAAGGCUAUGUUGGCCGGGCGACGGUUGUCCCGGUUUAAGCGUGUAGGCUGAUUUUCCAGGCAAAUCCGGAAAAUCAAGGCUGAGGCGUGAUGACGAGGCACUACGGUGCUGAAGCAACAAAUGCCCUGCUUCCAGGAAAAGCCUCUAAGCAUCAGGUAACAUCAAAUCGUACCCCAAACCGACACAGGUGGUCAGGUAGAGAAUACCAAGGCGCUUGAGAGAACUCGGGUGAAGGAACUAGGCAAAAUGGUGCCGUAACUUCGGGAGAAGGCACGCUGAUAUGUAGGUGAAGCGACUUGCUCGUGGAGCUGAAAUCAGUCGAAGAUACCAGCUGGCUGCAACUGUUUAUUAAAAACACAGCACUGUGCAAACACGAAAGUGGACGUAUACGGUGUGACGCCUGCCCGGUGCCGGAAGGUUAAUUGAUGGGGUUAGCGGUAACGCGAAGCUCUUGAUCGAAGCCCCGGUAAACGGCGGCCGUAACUAUAACGGUCCUAAGGUAGCGAAAUUCCUUGUCGGGUAAGUUCCGACCUGCACGAAUGGCGUAAUGAUGGCCAGGCUGUCUCCACCCGAGACUCAGUGAAAUUGAACUCGCUGUGAAGAUGCAGUGUACCCGCGGCAAGACGGAAAGACCCCGUGAACCUUUACUAUAGCUUGACACUGAACAUUGAGCCUUGAUGUGUAGGAUAGGUGGGAGGCUUUGAAGUGUGGACGCCAGUCUGCAUGGAGCCGACCUUGAAAUACCACCCUUUAAUGUUUGAUGUUCUAACGUUGGCCCGUUAUCCGGGUUGCGGACAGUGUCUGGUGGGUAGUUUGACUGGGGCGGUCUCCUCCUAAAGAGUAACGGAGGAGCACGAAGGUUGGCUAAUCCUGGUCGGACAUCAGGAGGUUAGUGCAAUGGCAUAAGCCAGCUUGACUGCGAGCGUGACGGCGCGAGCAGGUGCGAAAGCAGGUCAUAGUGAUCCGGUGGUUCUGAAUGGAAGGGCCAUCGCUCAACGGAUAAAAGGUACUCCGGGGAUAACAGGCUGAUACCGCCCAAGAGUUCAUAUCGACGGCGGUGUUUGGCACCUCGAUGUCGGCUCAUCACAUCCUGGGGCUGAAGUAGGUCCCAAGGGUAUGGCUGUUCGCCAUUUAAAGUGGUACGCGAGCUGGGUUUAGAACGUCGUGAGACAGUUCGGUCCCUAUCUGCCGUGGGCGCUGGAGAACUGAGGGGGGCUGCUCCUAGUACGAGAGGACCGGAGUGGACGCAUCACUGGUGUUCGGGUUGUCAUGCCAAUGGCACUGCCCGGUAGCUAAAUGCGGAAGAGAUAAGUGCUGAAAGCAUCUAAGCACGAAACUUGCCCCGAGAUGAGUUCUCCCUGACUCCUUGAGAGUCCUGAAGGAACGUUGAAGACGACGACG